rnacentral:tRNA from 5 species
GGGCUUUUAGCUCAGUGGUAGAGCGCGCCCCUGAUAAUGGGCGAGGUCUCUGGUUCAAGUCCAGGAUGGCCCA